CAGUCGCCGCGGGAAUACGAAGGGGGCUAGCGUUGCUCGGAAUGACUGGGCGUAAAGGGCGCGUAGGCGGUUUGGACAGUCAGAUGUGAAAUUCCUGGGCUUAACCUGGGGGCUGCAUUUGAUACAUUCAGGCUUGAGUGUGGAAGAGGGUCGUGGAAUUCCCAGUGUAGAGGUGAAAUUCGUAGAUAUUGGGAAGAACACCGGUGGCGAAGGCGGCGACCUGGUCCAUUACUGACGCUGAGGCGCGAAAGCGUGGGGAGCAAACAGGAUUAGAUACCCGGGUAGUCCCUGUCUCUUAUAC
rnacentral:rRNA from 1 species